rnacentral:rRNA from 1 species
GUGUCAGCAGCCGCGGUAAGACGAACUGUCCAAACGUUGUUCGGAAUCACUGGGCUUAAAGGGCGCGUAGGCGGUCGAUCAAGUCAGGGGUGAAAUCCUGCAGCUUAACUGUAGAAGUGCCUUUGAUACUGGUCGUCUCGAGGGAGGUAGGGGUGUGUGGAACUUCCAGUGGAGCGGUGAAAUGCGUUGAUAUUGGAAGGAACGCCGGAGGCGAAAGCGACGCACUGGACCUCUUCUGACGCUGAGGCGCGAAAGCUAGGGGAGCAAACGGGAUUAGAUACCCCCGUAGUCC